rnacentral:lncRNA from 1 species
GUCUUCACCAUCGAAGACUGGUAGUGUGACGUCCGACAUUUUUCUUCUCUUCUUUCAACACUUUUGGAUAGUCCCCUUUUUUUUCUUAUUAAAUGACUCUUCUUUUCAACCACUCUCUGCUACCAUGUUAAAAAUAAGUAACACUAAAACACUUGUCUUUAUUUACAGUUAUUUAUUCAGACUCACCACUUAUACUAAACACUACUACUUCUCUCGGCUGGAUCUCACAAGACAAAGAAGAAUGAACCGAGAUGCGUGGCUCCCUUAUAAACCUUUUAUAGAUGGCGCUUUUCACAUAUCCCUAACUUUUAUUUAUUCGCCAAAAAUCCCCAUAAUAUAAAUGUACCCGUUCAACAAAAAGACAUCUUCUUGGAAUUUUGUCUAGACAAAUGCAAAACACUUCA